AAGGUAAUAAUAAUCAAGUUUCUCCUUCUUUCAUGUCUUGUUAACUGUUGCAUCCACACGUCAUCCCUAUUCAUGUUGAUGUUUGCAAUGAACAUCUACAGAUUCCUGAGGUUUUCAAUAGGAUUCUGCAGUCAAAUACCAUGCAACUGACCAGCAUCACAGAAACGUCAAGCAAGGAGGUAAAUUUAGACCCCGAGUUGUAGCUCCCAUUCCAGAUACUGACCAAAAAGCUUCAUUAUAUUAACUCUCUUUCC
rnacentral:lncRNA from 1 species